GCAAGUCGAGCGCGCCCUUCGGGGAGCGGCGGACGGGUGAGUAACACGUGGAUUACCUACCUCGAGGCGGGGGAUAACCCGGGGAAACCCGGGCUAAUACCGCGUAUGGCCUACGGGUCAAAGACUUCGGUCGCCUUGAGAUGGGUCCGCGGCCCAUUAUUUAAUCCUGGUUGGUGGGGUAACGGCCUACCAAGGGUACGAUGGGUAGCUGGUCUGAGAGGACGAUC
rnacentral:rRNA from 1 species